rnacentral:rRNA from 1 species
GAGUUUGAUCAUGGCUCAGAUUGAACGCUGGCGGCAGGCCUAACACAUGCAAGUCGAGCGGUAGCACAGAGAGCUUGCUCUCGGGUGACGAGCGGCGGACGGGUGAGUAAUGUCUGGGAAACUGCCUGAUGGAGGGGGAUAACUACUGGAAACGGUAGCUAAUACCGCAUAACGUCGCAAGACCAAAGUGGGGGACCUUCGGGCCUCAUGCCAUCAGAUGUGCCCAGAUGGGAUUAGCUAGUAGGUGGGGUAACGGCUCACCUAGGCGACGAUCCCUAGCUGGUCUGAGAGGAUGACCAGCCACACUGGAACUGAGACACGGUCCAGACUCCUACGGGAGGCAGCAGUGGGGAAUAUUGCACAAUGGGCGCAAGCCUGAUGCAGCCAUGCCGCGUGUGUGAAGAAGGCCUUCGGGUUGUAAAGCACUUUCAGCGGGGAGGAAGGCGUUAAGGUUAAUAACCUUGGCGAUUGACGUUACCCGCAGAAGAAGCACCGGCUAACUCCGUGCCAGCAGCCGCGGUAAUACGGAGGGUGCAAGCGUUAAUCGGAAUUACUGGGCGUAAAGCGCACGCAGGCGGUCUGUCAAGUCGGAUGUGAAAUCCCCGGGCUCAACCUGGGAACUGCAUUCGAAACUGGCAGGCUAGAGUCUUGUAGAGGGGGGUAGAAUUCCAGGUGUAGCGGUGAAAUGCGUAGAGAUCUGGAGGAAUACCGGUGGCGAAGGCGGCCCCCUGGACAAAGACUGACGCUCAGGUGCGAAAGCGUGGGGAGCAAACAGGAUUAGAUACCCUGGUAGUCCACGCCGUAAACGAUGUCGAUUUGGAGGUUGUGCCCUUGAGGCGUGGCUUCCGGAGCUAACGCGUUAAAUCGACCGCCUGGGGAGUACGGCCGCAAGGUUAAAACUCAAAUGAAUUGACGGGGGCCCGCACAAGCGGUGGAGCAUGUGGUUUAAUUCGAUGCAACGCGAAGAACCUUACCUGGUCUUGACAUCCACAGAACUUAGCAGAGAUGCUUUGGUGCCUUCGGGAACUGUGAGACAGGUGCUGCAUGGCUGUCGUCAGCUCGUGUUGUGAAAUGUUGGGUUAAGUCCCGCAACGAGCGCAACCCUUAUCCUUUGUUGCCAGCGGUUCGGCCGGGAACUCAAAGGAGACUGCCAGUGAUAAACUGGAGGAAGGUGGGGAUGACGUCAAGUCAUCAUGGCCCUUACGACCAGGGCUACACACGUGCUACAAUGGCAUAUACAAAGAGAAGCGACCUCGCGAGAGCAAGCGGACCUCAUAAAGUAUGUCGUAGUCCGGAUUGGAGUCUGCAACUCGACUCCAUGAAGUCGGAAUCGCUAGUAAUCGUAGAUCAGAAUGCUACGGUGAAUACGUUCCCGGGCCUUGUACACACCGCCCGUCACACCAUGGGAGUGGGUUGCAAAAGAAGUAGGUAGCUUAACCUUCGGGAGGGCGCUUACCACUUUGUGAUUCAUGACUGGGGUGAAGUCGUAACAAGGUAACCGUAGGGGAACCUGCGGUUGGAUCACC